GAAGAACCUUACCCACCUUUGACAUGUACGGAAUCCUUUAGAGAUAGAGGAGUGCUCGAAAGAGAACCGUAACACAGGUGCUGCAUGGCUGUCGUCAGCUCGUGUCGUGAGAUGUUGGGUUAAGUCCCGCAACGAGCGCAACCCUUGCCAUUAGUUGCUACGAAAGGGCACUCUAAUGGGACUGCCGGUGACAAACCGGAGGAAGGUGGGGAUGACGUCAAGUCCUCAUGGCCCUUAUAGGUGGGGCUACACACGUCAUACAAUGGCUGGUACAGAGGGUUGCCAACCCGCGAGGGGGAGCUAAUCCCAUAAAGCCAGUCGUAGUCCGGAUCGCAGUCUGCAACUCGACUGCGUGAAGUCGGAAUCGCUAGUAAUCGCGGAUCAGAA
rnacentral:rRNA from 1 species